CAAUUAAAAGCAUAAAUAAUCUACCUCCCUGUUUUCUUAACCCUAAAGCAGUUCAAAUCAUGGUUUCUAUAAAAACACUUCAUCAAGCAAACCAUUUUUUCUUUCCUUCUUCAAUCUUUCGACAAUGGAAGCUGAUGAACAUGAGUAGCUAGUGUUCAUGGUUGUGAAGAAAAACUUUGACUACUAUAAGAACUGAUGCCCAGGUAUUAUAGCACAAGAUCGAUCAUGUUCAUGGUUGUGUUAACUUUGAUUCUCCUUAUGUUGCCUCCGGUUUUACCACCACUACCUCCUCCACCGCUGUUUCUUCUCUUUAUGCCGGUCAUGAUUAUGUCUGUUCUAGUCAUGUUCGCCUUAUCUCCAUCUUUCCAGGGCCAAUUGCUUUGCUGCAUGCCGCUACUAUAGAUAGCUUGAAUAUACUAUAUAUAGAAAGGAUGAUGGUAUGCAUUUGUUUCUCCUUAUUAAUUUGUCAUUAAUUUUGGAGGAAGUAGUAAAUUGCAUGUAAUUAUAUGUGCAUAUAUAUAAUUGUUUUUUUUUUUCCUUUUUGGUGGGAGGUUGUGGAGGAGGUCAAAUGGCCUGAUUAGCCUAGGUACUCUCAAGCUCAUUUCAUCUCCUUUUGUUCAUUUGUAUUUCCUCUAUUCGUAUCCGAGAUCUCCAAGGAAACUUGCGCUACGAGCUAGGAGCCUAUGAGGUUUCUUUUAGUCAUUCUACUCAGAAGCGAUGAGGAAAUGAAAAGGGAAAUUGCCCUAAUCUUGAGAUGGGUUCAGAGGCGGCCAUUGCUUCAAAUUCUUCAUGGGCCAUUUGAUUUCGAUAUGGACUCUCAGCUUGUUCAUGAAGCAUCGUUAGGACUUUCAUUUAAAGGAAGCAAGUGAUGAUCUUCCUCGAUAUAUAUAUAUAUAGUGAGGGCAUCCAUCUUCAAGACUGGUAUAUAUGCUAGCUCCUUGUGCAAGAAAUAAUAGCGAGCUUCUUAGAGUACUAAAAGGUAGUACAUUUUUUCCAUUCAUGUUGUAAUAGAAGAAAAUGAAUACAAAUAAAGCUUUCAGUCGUGAAGUUAAUCAAGACCCAUUAA